UACAGAGGGUGCAAGCGUUAAUCGGAAUUACUGGGCGUAAAGCGCACGCAGGCGGAUAUUUAAGUUGGAUGUGAAAUCCCUGGGCUUAACCUAGGAAUUGCAUUCGAUACUGGGUAUCUAGAGUAUGGUAGAGGAAAGUGGAACUCCCGGUGUAGCGGUGAAAUGCGUAGAUAUCGGGAAGAACACCAGUGGCGAAAGCGGCUUUCUGGACCAAUACUGACGCUCAGGUGCGAAAGCGUGGGGAGCAAACAGG
rnacentral:misc_RNA from 1 species